CCUUCAAGACGGGGACAGCACCGUGGAAACGGUGGUAAUACCCGAUAAUAUAACUGAUCCGCUUGGAUUUCUUAUUAAAGACGGAGACCGUAAGGCCUGUCGCUUAGAGAUGAGCUUGCGUACCACCAGCUAGUUGGUAGGGUAACGGCCUACUAAGGCUUAGACGGUUAGCUGGUCUGAGAGGUCGACCAGCCACAUUGGGACUUAGACACUGCCCAGACUCCUACGGGAGGCUGCAGUAGAGAAUAUUUAGCAAUGGACGAAAGUCUGACUAUGCGACGCCGCGUGCAGGAUGAAGGUCUUCGCAUCGUAAACUGCUUUUGUUAGGGGAGAAACCUGUAUUAUUAAUAGUGAUACAGCUGACUGUACCUGACGAAUAAGCCACGGCAAACUCCGUGCCAGCAGCCGCGGUCAUACGGAGGUGGCAAGCGUUACUCUGAAUUAUUGGGUGUAAAGGGCAGGUAGGUGGUCUUGCAAGUGAGCGGUGAAAUCCUGCGGUUCAAUCGCAGAACUGCCUUUCAAACAGCUUGACUUGAGAGUGUUAGGGGAGAACGGGAUUCCCGGUGUAAGGGUGAAAUCUGUAGAUAUCGGGAAGAACACCAACUGCGAAGGCAGUUCUCUGGGACACUUCUGACGCUGAACUGCGAAAGCUAGGGGAGCAAACAGAAAUAGAUACUCUGGUAGUCCUAGUCGUAAACGAUGAAUACUAGGUGUUGGUCCAUUCGGGGAUCAGUGCCGAAGCUAACCCAUUAAGUAUUCCACCUGGGGACUACGAUCGCAAGGUUCAAACUCAAAGGAAUUGACGGGGGCCCGCACAAGC
rnacentral:rRNA from 1 species